rnacentral:tRNA from 1 species
GGAAGGGUCGCAUAGAGGCCUAGUGCGCCCGUCUCGAAAACGGGUAGGGUUAACGCCCUCGUGGGUUCGAAUCCCACCCCUUCCG